rfam:Phlebotomus papatasi Contig2.57, whole genome shotgun sequence.
GACUUUGCGCAGAGGCGAUAUCAUAACCAAUGAGGUUUGUCCGAGUGGCGAUUACUGCUAGUUGAAAACUUAUGAUCAAGUUUUAUUUUUACUUUUUAGUGUCAAAAUUAAAUAUUUGUAUUUCUAGCUAGC